UGUAAAAAAAAAUACAAUUGGGCGCCCCUAUAGCUCAUCUGGUUGAGCGGGCUACCCAUGAACAGGGGCAAUGGUUCCCCGACGCAGCGGUCAUGAGUUCGACUCACACUCAUGACAGUUUGCU